AUUGAACGCUGGCGGCAGGCCUAACACAUGCAAGUCGAGCGGAUGAAGGGAGCUUGCUCCUGGAUUCAGCGGCGGACGGGUGAGUAAUGCCUAGGAAUCUGCCUGGUAGUGGGGGAUAACGUCCGGAAACGGGCGCUAAUACCGCAUACGUCCUGAGAGAGAAAGUGGGGGAUCUUCGGACCUCACGCUAUCAGAUGAGCCUAGGUCGGAUUAGCUAGUUGGUGGGGUAAAGGCCUACCAAGGCGACGAUCCGUAACUGGUCUGAGAGGAUGAUCAGUCACACUGGAACUGAGACACGGUCCAGACUCCUACGGGAGGCAGCAGUGGGGAAUAUUAGACAAUGGGCGAAAGCCUGAUCCAGCCAUGCCGCGUGUGUGAAGAAGGUCUUCGGAUUGUAAAGCACUUUAAGUUGGGAGGAAGGGCAGUAAGUUAAUACCUUGCUGUUUUGACGUUACCAACAGAAUAAGCACCGGCUAACUUCGUG
rnacentral:rRNA from 1 species